rnacentral:rRNA from 1 species
AGAGUUUGAUCCUGGCUCAGAGCGAACGCUGGCGGCGUGGAUUAGGCAUGCAAGUCGAACGGGAUCAUUGCCGCAAGGUGAUGAUUCAGUGGCGAAAGGGCGAGUAAUACAUCGAUCAUCUGCCCCAGGGACCGGAACAACACUUGGAAACGAGUGCUAAUACCGGAUAGCCCAGCAAUGGUAAACGGCGGGGACCGCAAGGCCUGCCGCCCAGGGAGGAGUCGAUGGCCUAUCAGCUAGUUGGUGAGGUAACGGCUCACCAAGGCGAAGACGGGUAGCCGGACUGAGAGGUUGGUCGGCCGCACUGGGACUGGGACACUGCCCAGACUCCUACGGGAGGCUGCAGUCGAGGAUCUUCCGCAAUGGGGGCAACCCUGACGGAGCGACGCCGCGUGCAGGAUGAAGGCCUUCGGGUCGUAAACUGCUGUCACACGUUAUGAAACUGCACGGACUAACACUCCGUGCCCUGACAAAGGCGUGAAAGGAAGCCACGGCUAACUUCGUGCCAGCAGCCGCGGUAAGACGAAGGUGGCUAGCGUUGCUCGGAAUUACUGGGCAUAAAGCGCGCGUAGGUGGUCUUGCAAGCGAGGGAUGAAAUCCCAUGGCUCACCCAUGGAACUGUCUCUCGGACUGCAAGGCUUGAGGGCGGGAGGGGAGAGUGGAAUUCCCGGUGUAGCGGUGAAAUGCGUAGAUAUCGGGAGGAACGCCGGUGGCGAAAGCGACUCUCUGGCCCGUUUCUGACACUGAGGCGCGAAAGCUAGGGGAGCAAACAGGAUUAGAUACCCUGGUAGUCCUAGCUG